GGCAGAACUGAUUAGGACAACCCCACAAAUUGUAGGAAUUGCGGUUAAAGAAUCCGUUCACAAAAUUGGUUUGUUUGCAGAUGAUAUAAUCCUAGCUAUCAAAAACCCAAAAGAAUCUUUGAGACACCUCAAGGAUAUUUUGACUCAAUUCGGUGAGAUAUCGUAUUACAAAUUAAAUGAGUCCAAAACUCAAGCCCUUCCGUUUCAUUUAAACAAUUUGGAAACCAUUGCCCUUAAGAAAUCAUAUUUAUUUGAUUGGAGAACUGAAUAUAUGGAAUAUCUUGGCAUUAAUUUAUGCAAAAAUUUGGUCAAUAUGCACAAUCACAACCUGAGG